UACAGAGGGGGCAAGCGUUGUUCGGAAUUACUGGGCGUAAAGGGUGUGUAGGCGGUUGUUUAAGUUUGGUGUGAAAUCUCCCGGCUCAACUGGGAGGGUGCGCCGAAUACUGAAUGACUUGGAGUGCGGGAGAGGUGAGUGGAAUUCCUGGUGUAGCGGUGAAAUGCGUAGAUAUCAGGAGGAACACCGGUGGUGUAGACGGCUCACUGGACCGUAACUGACGCUGAGACACGAAAGCGUGGGUAGCAAACAGG
rnacentral:rRNA from 1 species